rnacentral:rRNA from 1 species
AUGUACCUGCGCCGGAGAGAUUUGUCGGCGUUCGUGCUCCAUCCUUGGGGUUUUUGUCUAGACUACUCUGUCUUCCUCCCUCCGUUUGACCAGCCUAGCACUCUGCUCAUUCGAUGUGCUCAUGUUUACUGCCGCACAACCUCGGCGAGGACUGGAGGAGGAGUUCCAUGCCUGGGUCACGCACGUCACCGACGACCACCCCGGCAGCGAGGAGGGGGGAUAAGGGCGCGUCCGAGCCCAACGGCACCCCACCAUCGGGUCGGCCGACGGCCGCUUUGGCCAGUACCUCAAGAUGUACAUGGGCAAGGUUCACACAAAGAGGGAGAAUUCCGGCAGCUGAAAAUCUGGACCUGA